GCAUAUCAAUAAGCGGAGGAAAAGAAAAUAACAAUGAUUCCCCUAGUAACGGCGAGUGAAGAGGGAAAAGCUCAAAGUUGGAAACUCCAAGCCCUAGGUUUGGCGUAUUGUAAACUAAAGCUCUCGAGUAGUUUGGCUAGCCUGGUAAAUAAGUUCUCUGGAAAGGGACGACAUGGAGGGUGAAAUCCCCGUCUUUGGCCAGAGCAUAGUCUGACGUUUGCUUGGAAGUGAAGAGUCAGGUUGUUUGGUAUUGCAGCCUAAAGCUGGAGGUAAAUCUCUCCUAAAGCUAAAUAUUGACGAAAGACCGAUAGCGAACAAGUACCGUGAGGGAAAGAUGAAAAGCACUUUGAAAAGAGGGUCAAAAAGUACGUGAAAUUGCUGAAAGGGAACCGUAUGAAAUCAGCUUGUCUCUUUGGUAAUCAACCUGAACCUCGGUUUGGGUGCACUUGCCAGUGAGUCAGCCUGCGACAAUUCGAUUUGGGGGAAAAAAUCAGAAGGAAUGUGGCCUGCACUUCGGUGUAGGUGUUAUAGCCUUUUGAAAAAUAUCCUGGGUUGGAUUGAGGACUGCAGCAAGCCAUUUGGGAAGAACUGUGGGCGCUUUGUUGUGGCUGGAAGAAAAUCUCUGCUUCGGGUGGUGUUUUUUCAGUCGCGGCCAACUCGCUUAUUUUUUCUUUUUCUUGCUUAGGUCGUAGGCAUAAUGAUUUUAUAUGACC
rnacentral:rRNA from 1 species